rnacentral:rRNA from 1 species
AGAGUUUGAUCCUGGCUCAGAACGAACGCUGGCGGCAGGCUUAACACAUGCAAGUCGAACGAGAAGCCACCUUCGGGUGGUGGACAGUGGCAGAUUCCGGGUGAGUAACGCGUGGGAACGUGCCUUUCGGUUCGGGAUAACCCAGGGAAACUUGGGCUAAUACCGGAUACGCCCUUCGGGGGAAGGAUUCAUUGCCGAAAGAUCGGCCCGCGUCGGAUUAGCUAGUAUCUGGUGAGGUAAAAGCUUACCAAGGCGACGAUCCGUAGCUGGUCUGAGAGGAUGACCAGCCACACUGGGACUGAGACACGGCCCAGACUCCUACGGGAGGCAGCAGUGGGGAAUAUUGGACAAUGGGCGCGAAAAGCCUGAUCCAGCCAUGCCGCGUGGGUGAAGAAGGCCUUCGGGUUGUAAAGCCCUUUUAUCGGGGAAGAGGAAGGACGGUACCCGAGGAAUAAGCCUCGGCUAACUACGUGCCAGCAGCCGCGGUAAU